UACGAGGGGGCAAGCGUUGUUCGGAAUUAUUGGGCGUAAAGGGUGCGUAGGUGGUUCGGCAAGUCUUGUGUGAAAUCUUCAGGCUCAACUUGAAGUCUGCACAAGAAACUGCCGGGCUUGAGUAUGGGAGAGGUGAGUGGAAUUUCCGGUGUAGCGGUGAAAUGCGUAGAUAUCGGAAGGAACACCUGUGGCGAAAGCGGCUCACUGGACCAUUACUGACACUGAGGCA
rnacentral:rRNA from 1 species